UUGCUAGUACUAGAAUUCAUGGGUUAGAGUAUAAAAUCUGAAUUUGGAGUUAAACUAGUAUUUAUAUUCAUGUUGGACUUGGAAUUGACUUAGGGAAAAACUAUUUAAUCCUACACUGUCAUUUUCUAAAAGGUUACCAGAUUUAGCUUUAGGAGCUAUGGUUUGUUUGUAUCGCCGCUGUUCAUAUGCCGUGGAUAUUCGGAUUAGUGUAGGAUGAGUUUACGCUCGUGCUGGGAUGCCGAGCUUAUUUUACAGUAGUGGGUAGAUUGUUUCGGACUGUCAGGUGUCGUCGCCGUUGAUGGUGGACCCACAUUUUCUGUAUUUUGUAUU
rnacentral:lncRNA from 1 species